rnacentral:tRNA from 1 species
GGGCGCAUAGUAUAAUGGACAGAAUGUGACCUUGCGGAGGUUAAGAUCAGGGUUCGACUCCCUGUACGCCCA